UGCUCCUCUGAAGGAGAUGAAGUAGAAUUCAUUUUGUCUUUGGAUGAUAAGUUGUUGAUACAGACUAAAGCCAAUGGUAUAGAAAACAACAGCGUUUCAAAUGUUACCAUCAACUUACCUGGUCAGCUGAUGGGAAACCUGACAUGUGUUGCUCAAAACAAUGUCAGCAGAAAACAAAAUAUCAUCCACCUUACAAGCUGUACAGCUCCUGUGUCAGAACCAGCUGUUUCGCAGAUGUGUUUGUCACCAAAACAGAUGACAGUCAGUUGCUCCUCUGAAGGAGAUGAAGUAGAGUUCACCUUGUUUUUGGAUGAUAACUUGUUGAUAAAAACCCAACCCAGCAUUGCAGAAAACCACAACAUUUCAAAUGUUACCAUCAGUUUACAUGGUCAGCUGAUGGGAAAUUUUAUGUGUAUCGUCCAAAACAACAUCAGCAGAGAACAAACCAUCAUCCACCUUAUAAGCUGCACAGGUAAUAUUUCUGACCACUGCAUUGUGACCAUGGCUGUGGUAGUAAGCAUUGCCAUUCUACUCAUUCUGGCUGUGUUUCUUGGUAUCCGGAAAUUCAAAAACACAACUGGCAUUAUGACUGUUCAUGAAGAUGAAGCUGAAGAGGACGUUGUCUACUCAGAUAUUAGACUGAAGCAGCGUGCAAGAGAAACAAGAGAAACACCACCUAUUUCAAAUCAAGAUGAAAGUUAACGUUCUCCUAAACAGUCUGACAUUCUGAAACCUAAAACCUAACAUGUUGACUUUCGGUCAACUGGCUAAUAAAACUAUGCCAGUUUAGCAGUUCCAUCUUUGCAGUGAACGUGAAGGUAAACAUAUUUAACAAGCACUCACUGGAUUACUUUAAUUUUGAAGAAAACAUAAAGGGGAAAAAGUUAUUUCGAAGGCAUUUAAUAUACAUGAAAUACUUAUUUAUACUUAUUUAUAAAUGCUUUAUAUUUGAACUACAUUUUAUUUGACAUAAUUUAAAUAAACUACAUCAACCUUGUAAAAGUUCUAACCAACAUUUUACAUUUAACCUUGGAGAUUGAAUAAAAG
ensembl:lncRNA